UACUAGAGUAGCACUCGCAUAUCAAUAAGCGGAGGAAAAGAAACUAACAAGGAUUCCCCUAGUAACGGCGAGUGAAGCGGGAAGAGCUCAAAUUUGAAAUCUUAAAGGGUUUCCCUUUACGAAUUGUAGUUUAAAGAAGUGUUUUCUGUUGAGGUUUUGGUAAAAGUUCUUUGGAAUAGGACAUCAUAGAGGGUGAGAAUCCCGUAUUUGACCUUUACUUUCAACUUUGUGAUACACUUUCAAAGAGUCGGAUUGUUUGGGAAUGCAGUCCAAAAUGGGUGGUAAACUUCAUCUAAAGCUAGAUAUUGGCGAGAGACCGAUAGCGAACAAGUACCGUGAGGGAAAGAUGAAAAGAACUUUGAAAAGAGAGUUAAACAGUACGUGAAAUUGUCAAAAGGGAAGCGUUUGACACCAGUGUUGUUUUUCUGAAAAUCAAUUAAAGAGCUGUUUAUGCUAAGCUGUUUAGACUUUAUCAGCUAUCUGUUUAGUUUUGAGCUUUUCUUUAAUGCACUUUUCAGUUAACAAGUCAACAUCAAUUUCUUUUGCUGUAAAAAAGCUUGAGGAAGGUGGCUUGAGAUUCGUCUUAAGUGUUUAUAGCCUCUUGCCUAUGCAGUCGGAGAGAUUGAGGUCUGCAGCGUAGAUCCUUCGGGGCUAAAUGCAUUUGUGCUAAGUUAUAGCAUUUUAUAGACAACUUGUUGACUAUGAUUUGUCUUGUAGCUUACUCGCUUAUGUUAUUUUACCUACGCUUAGGAUGUUGAGUCAUCACACAUCUCU
rnacentral:rRNA from 1 species